CAGAAAAGUACGGCGAGAGACUUAUAACCCGACUGGGCCUUAAGUCGAGGCUGCCUCCAGUGCGUCCACCCGUGUGCUCUGGUUCCCGAACCAAAGGGCAAGACGUACGUGAUGGGGUAAUAGUGCUAGGAGUCCACCAUCCCUAGUCCAAGAAGCCACCUGCUCCUGUCUACUACCAGCUGUUUGCCUGCACCUACGUCGAGCCUACGAGCUGCACAGCAGAGUGAGUGAUGCACCGAUGGAAAGCUGGAAAGGAGCAAGUGGCUAUCGGGAAUUUCAGUUUCACCGACUGGCCAAGGAAGCUGUUGUGGUUAUAUCGCACUUCUCCAACGAGUGAACCCUACGCUGCAGCGAAGGGCCUCCUAUAUUGCCUCAUUUCCGGCCUGUUCACCAGCGAUCUAUAUUUUUUUUUAAUUUGUAGAGCCAGUGUACGAUACUGUAAUAUCUUAUCGUUUUUUGAACACUCCCAAUAAAAUACUUUUUAA
rnacentral:misc_RNA from 1 species